AGUGUGUGUGUGUGUGUGUGUGUGUGUGUGUGUGUGUGUGUGUGUGUGUGUGUGUGUGUGUGUGUGUGUUUUAGUAGACCACUAGCACAGAGACUGGUGCAUUGGGGAGGGAAAGGCAGAAUUCAGCACUCACACAAACACACUCACCCUACGUCUCACACACACACACACACUCGCCCUACGUCACACACACUCACACACUCGCCCUACGUCACACACACACACACUUACUUCAUAACCGUGCAUUUCUAUGUCACACACACACACUCACUUCAUAACCGUGCGUCCCUACAUCACAAACACACACACACACUCACUUCAGACUCUAAAGGCUUAUCUUCACGAGGUUAUAAGGUAUGUUGGGCUCCUCCCUGUCUGCCGCUGAUCAGCCAAUCAGAAGAGCAGCUGGAGUAGACUAGCAAAUCACUAAUGAGGUGCAGCAGCCAAUCAGCUGAAGCUAGGAGGAGCUGUAUAAUUCCUCUGUCAUGUCAUUUAUUUACUGUAGCCAUACAUUCUCAUUCUUUAGUGUGUGUGUGUGUGUGUGUGUGUGUGUGUGUGUGUGUGUGUUGUGUGUGUGUGUGUGUGUGUGUGUGUGUGUGUGUGUGUGUGUGUGUGUGAGAGUGAGAGAGAGAGGAAAAUAAAGUGUGUUCCAGUACCACACACGCAGAAAGAAGACACACACACAGCUGACGAAAACCCAAAUCACCGUUGGCGCAAGACAGCUCUGUGUGUGGACCACACUCCUGCCACACACACACACACACACACACACACAACCCUCUAGCCCUGAACACGGACACACACACACUCACCCCUCUGCCCUGGUCCUGAGUAGGCGACCCACACACACACACACACACACACACGCAUAGACUUGGGUUCCACUAAAGUUAUGCCCAAGCUAUACAUCUCACACAACCUAAAGCCUUGCAUACACACACACACACACACACACCUUAAAGGCUUGCGCACACACACACGUCCUAAAGGCUUGCGUUGAACACUCCAAAUAAUCACUGUCAUCCAUUUUGGACCACAGUUUAAGAAAUUAACCAAUCAGUGAACAGAUAGCUGCUUUUUUUUUUAUUACUAUGUAAUAGUAACAUCCUUUCUAACUGACGGAGGGUUCCACCAAUGGGCAAAGGCACUGGAGCAUUCCGACAGGAGGCGGGCACAGUGGGGAAGGUUGUGAUUGGAGGAGAGAUAAUUGGGGCGGGCUUUGGAUGGACUGCAUGUUGUAAAUGUGUGUGAUUAAAUAAUGAUGACAAACGA